UGCUGGAGGUAUCAGAAGUGCGAAUGCUGACAUAAGUAACGAUAAAGCGGGUGAAAAGCCCGCUCGCCGGAAGACCAAGGGUUCCUGUCCAACGUUAAUCGGGGCAGGGUGAGUCGACCCCUAAGGCGAGGCCGAAAGGCGUAGUCGAUGGGAAACAGGUUAAUAUUCCUGUACUUGGUGUUACUGCGAAGGGGGGACGGAGAAGGCUAUGUUAGCCGGGCGACGGUUGUCCCGGUUUAAGCAUGUAGGCUGAUUGUCCAGGCAAAUCCGGAUAAUCAAGGCUGAGGUGUGAUGACGAGGCACUACGGUGCUGAAGUAACAAAUGCCCUGCUUCCAGGAAAAGCCUCUAAGCAUCAGGUAACAUCAAAUCGUACCCCAAACCGACACAGGUGGUCAGGUAGAGAAUACCAAGGCGCUUGAGAGAACUCGGGUGAAGGAACUAGGCAAAAUGGUGCCGUAACUUCGGGAGAAGGCACGCUGGUGUGUAGGUGAAG
rnacentral:rRNA from 1 species